GACGAACGCUGGCGGCGCGCCUAACACAUGCAAGUCGAACGAGCGAGAGAGAGCUUGCUUUCUCGAGCGAGUGGCGAACGGGUGAGUAACACGUGAGGAACCUGCCUCUAAGAGGGGGACAACAGUUGGAAACGACUGCUAAUACCGCAUAAGCCCACGUUGCCGCAUGGCACAGAUGGAAAAGGAGCAAUACGCUUUGAGAUGUCCUCGCGUCCGAUUAGCUAGUUGGAGAGGUAAUGGCCCACCAAGGCGACGAUCGGUAGCCGGACUGAGAGGUUGAACGGCCACAUUGGGACUGAGACACGGCACAGACUCCUACGGGAGGGAGCAGUGGGGAAUAUUGCACCAUGGGGGAAACCAUGAUGCAGCGACGCCGCGUGGAGGAAGAAAGUCUUCGGAUUGUAAACUCCUGUUGUUGGGGAAGAUAAUGACGGUACCCAACAAGGAAGUGACGGCUAACUACGUG
rnacentral:rRNA from 1 species